AAGAAAAAGCAUUUUAUUUCAUUUCAGAUGCUAUUAGAUUGUCAUCUUUCUGGAGUAAUAUUAUAGUUCUUCAUCUAGCCAGCAUCAAAAAAAACAUGUGCCACGGCUUGUUCCCAUUCUAUUUUCAGACAGCUAAUUUUUAUUUGAAUAAAAGGGUGGGUGGGCACUCGUGGAUGUUAUUGAAGCCUUUAUAAAAGUUCUAUGGAAAGAAAUAUGAAAAUGUAGCUAGCUAACUGUACUUAUGUUCCAUAUCAAUUA
rnacentral:misc_RNA from 1 species